UAAACGGUUCUUUUUAGAACCACCAAUUUAUUUUACGGUGGAACAU
rfam:Solenopsis invicta Si_gnG.contig20582, whole genome shotgun sequence.